AACGAACGCUGGCGGCAGGCUUAACACAUGCAAGUCGAGCGCCCCGCCAGGGGAGCGGCAGACGGGUGAGUACCGCGUGGGAACGUACCUUUUGGUUCGGAACAACUCCGGGAAACUGGAGCUAAUACCGGAUAAGCCCUAACGGGGAAAGAUUUAUCGCCGAAAGAUCGGCCCGCGUCUGAUUAGCUAGUUGGUGAGGUAACGGCUCACCAAGGCGACGAUCAGUAGCUGGUCUGAGAGGAUGAUCAGCCACACUGGGACUGAGACACGGCCCAGACUCCUACGGGAGGCAGCAGUGGGGAAUAUUGGGCAAUGGGCGCAAGCCUGAUCCAGCCAUGCCGCGUGAGUGAUGAAGGCCUUAGGGUUGUAAAGCUCUUUUGUCCGGGAAGAUAAUGACUGUACCGGAAGAAUAAGCCCCGGCUAACUUCGUG
rnacentral:rRNA from 1 species